UAAAGAGACAAAAAAUUGUGUAUAUCUUGGUCUAGAUGAUUUAUGCUCAAUUUCUUAUAAUGAAACAAAAAAUAUUAUCAAACUUUGGGAUUUACCUGUGACUCUAAACUCUUUACAGAAGUUCAAUGUUUGCUCUGAGAAGUUGAAUGAACAAAUUUUAUUAAAUGUGCAAUCUGUAUCUUAAACAUUAACGAGAAUUGUUUUGUGUCAGUGCCAGAAAUUGAAUACACACCUGCAAAUUUUGUAAUUCAUUAAAAUAUUAUGAAUCCAUUAGCAAAUAAAGUUGUAUCCUUGAAAGAUAU